rnacentral:rRNA from 1 species
GAGUUUGAUCAUGGCUCAGGACGAACGCUGGCGGCGUGCCUAACACAUGCAAGUCGAGCGGGGAACUUCGGUUCCCAGCGGCGGACGGGUGAGUAACACGUGGGUAACCUGCCUCAUAGAGGGGGAUAGCCUCCCGAAAGGGAGAUUAAUACCGCAUAUACUCUCGGUGCCGCAUGACACUUAGAGGAAAGGAGUAAUCCGCUAUGAGAUGGACCCGCGGCGCAUUAGCUAGUUGGUGAGGUAAAGGCUCACCAAGGCAACGAUGCGUAGCCGGCCUGAGAGGGUGAACGGCCACAUUGGAACUGAGACACGGUCCAGACUCCUACGGGAGGCAGCAGUGGGGAAUAUUGCACAAUGGGCGAAAGCCUGAUGCAGCAACGCCGCGUGAGUGAUGAAGGCCUUCGGGUUGUAAAGCUCUGUCUUCUGGGACGAUAAUGACGGUACCAGAGGAGGAAGCCACGGCUAACUACGUGCCAGCAGCCGCGGUAAUAC